rnacentral:rRNA from 1 species
UACGGGGGGGGGCAAGCGUUGUUCGGAAUUACUGGGCGUAAAGGGCGCGUAGGCGGCCUUCUAAGUCCGACGUGAAAUCCCCAGGCUUAACCUGGGAACUGCGUCGGAUACUGGAUGGCUUGAAUUCGGGAGAGGGAUGCAGAAUUCCAGGUGUAGCGGUGAAAUGCGUAGAUAUCGGAAGGAACAUCAGUGGCGAAAGCGGCUUCCUGGUCCAGCACCGACGUUCAGGCACGAAAGCGUGGGGAGCAAACAGG